rnacentral:rRNA from 1 species
AUUGAACGCUGGCGGCAGGCCUAACACAUGCAAGUCGAACGGUAACAGGAAGCAGCUUGCUGCUUUGCUGACGAGUGGCGGACGGGUGAGUAAUGUCUGGGAAACUGCCCGAUGGAGGGGGAUAACUACUGGAAACGGUAGCUAAUACCGCAUAACGUCGCAAGACCAAAGAGGGGGACCUUAGGGCCUCUUGCCAUCGGAUGUGCCCAGAUGGGAUUAGCUAGUAGGUGGGGUAACGGCUCACCUAGGCGACGAUCCCUAGCUGGUCUGAGAGGAUGACCAGCCACACUGGAACUGAGACACGGUCCAGACUCCGACGGGAGGCAGCAGUGGGGAAUAUUGCACAAUGGGCGCAAGCCUGAUGCAGCCAUGCCGCGUGUAUGAAGAAGGUCUUCGGGUUGUAAAGUACUUUCAGCGGGGAGGAAGGGAGUAAAGUUAAUACCUUUGCUCAUUGACGUUACCCGCAGAAGAAGCACCGGCUAACUCCGU